rnacentral:rRNA from 1 species
UCUAGCAGCUUUUUUGAUACUGCAACAACUAGUAACCCACUAAAGCUAAGCAGGUGUGAGCCUGGCCAGUACCUGGAUGGGAGACCUCCUGAGGAAAAGCUAAGGUUGUUGCUGGAA